rnacentral:lncRNA from 1 species
AUAUUAGCCAUCUAGACAUUCUGAUGUUAUCACAUAUAUAACAGAACAACAAACGCAAGAUGUGCAAAGGAUAAAACAUCCUACUGCAUCACAAAUGUUCUAGGUUAUGUUAAUUAUGCUAUUCGGACACUGAAAACUCAUGUACAUGUGGUACACAUUUUCGACAGACAGAACUAGUCGCUUGCACAACAGGCUGCAAGGGAUAGACACAAUCAAUUUUAUAAGUUUUUUCUAUAUUAGUUCAUAAUUCACUUCAUUAGGUACCAUUGUCUUCUCAUUUUGUAGUCCAUCUGUUGAACCAACUUUCACUAUCUUCUGGGAAUCAGGAAUAGAUCCCGCAAACUGCAUAGUUAUUUAUAUGCUGCAAUAUUACUAGGAGAGAGAUAUCAUUUAUGAAAAGUCAAGAAAUUUAAAUGUCGGGGACUUCAGAAAGAAUCAUGUCUCUAUCUUUCGUACAACUUAAGUCAGUAAUUCCACUGAUAAAAAAAAAGAAAGAAGUAAAGCAGUUCACACAGCACUCAAAGAUCAACAAACAUUAACAAAAAGCACAGUACCUCGUCUUAACAUCCUUCACAUAUCCGUAGGUGCUAUAAUGACAUUUAAGCAUAUAAAAGAACCACGUGUUAUUCGAACAACCAUAGGACCUUUCAUUGAAAUCCCUUUUUCACCUUUUCCAUAGGAAGGCUCCUCCUUCAAUGUCCUCGCUUCAUUGACGUCUUUAACACGUCAUUGUUAAAGAAAGGAAAAAGUUGCUUAUAUGACACGAAGGUUACUAGAUGAGAAGCUUAGAACAUAGAUACUUCCGCGCAUGCUUGACUUAGAAUAACUGCAAAUUAGUAUUCAUAGUUUUUUCACUGCAGAGACCAAUCUCAUAAAGGAAUUUACCAACAAUUUGGACGAGCUUCCUCAACUUAAAAGAGUAUAGAAGGAUGGAGAAAAGCCAUUGCACAAAAAGCGGCUCAAUGUGCAAGUAGAUUAAAUAUAGUAGAACGAAUCUAUGAAUUUAUUGAUUUUGAAUAGCAAACAAGCAAUUGUAAACCCUUGCAUAAUGGGGAACAAAAGAUAAUCAAGUUUAAAGUAAACCAUUGCAUUACGACAUCGCUGUGAUUAAAAGAAAACUAAUUAAACAACGAAUGAUCUUUCAAAUUUGCCUCAAAAUUUACCUUCAAAAAGAAGAAACGCAAAAGACCAUGGAGUGAUAAAUGUUCCUAAUGUAAUAUGUGUGAAUUUCACAAUAACAUCAUGAUAAAAGCUAAACAAUCAAAUUAGGGAAUAAUAACACGCCUAUCGCCGUCAGCUAAAUUUGGGGAAACAGGAAAUAAAACAGAUGAAAAAAAUACUGAAUAGUUUACGAACCUUAAGAAAUCUCGUGAGAGAGCAUCGCCGCCGCCGACCGGCAAAAAGAGUUGAGUUUGGGAGCGAAGCAUCACCGCCGGCGAAGGGGCAAAAAAAAUUUGGACCAUUUCUCGAUUGUGCAUAUCAUCUUUGAGCAGGGGCCAUGCUAAUCUUCUGUGUAUCGUUCCAAACGAACUCCAGUGUUGAGCUUCCGCAAUAUAAACAGAGCAAAAACUUCUUCUGCAGCCCAUGAGGGAGAAU